rnacentral:misc_RNA from 1 species
UUAAAUUCUCAACCCUUAUCGGUGGAUGUGGGGGUUGCUGGCUCCUCAGGUCAGCUCCCCUCAAAUGCAUUAGCUGGUGCCCCGUGUGGGACUGUCUAUUGGUGUGAUAAUUAUCUACGCCGUGGAUGAGCACUGCUUCCAACACCACAAUUACAUGACAAUUUGACCUCAAAUCAGGUAGGACUACCCGCUGAACUUAA